rnacentral:lncRNA from 1 species
GGCAGAGCAGCGCUUCCUCGGAGGGAUCAUGGUACAAGGAGUGGACAGGCUGCCGGCCCUCGGGCCAUGUCCCACCUCUGGAAGGGCUGUUGUGUGCGACUUUUCCUUGCUGCGGUGCCUUGGCUGGACCUGUGGUGUGGAAGUGGUUUCCUGGUGGUUCUCUAUUACACGAAGCUGGGGCCCGUGUCACUGUGUGGUGUUCUUGUGGCAGAUGCUGCUGUCUCAGGACAGCUGCCCUCCUGCCUUCCUUGUGGGGUCUGUUCUGUCCCCCUGGGUCCUUUCUGGGCAUUCCCUUGCUCCCAGUCCUGCUUCUCAGUUUUGAACUUUAUCGUCAUGUGUUUUCUGUAACCAGGAAGUUCUCAGUGUCCCUCUGUUUGUUUCAGUUUCUGCUCUGGUUUGAGAAGGUGACCCUAGCUGUGCCGUUGGAAGCCUUCUUCGUGCCCUGUGCCUGCUUGGGAUUCCUUUCUCCAGUUCUUCUUGUUGCGUCCUCUUUUUGGUAGUCACUGGGUUUAUUUUACACCAGGUGGUGGCACGCAGCAGUCUUCCUGAACAAAGGUGGCCUAGGUCCAGUGUUUGGAGCAAUGCGUGUGUGGUGAGGGUCCACCCAGUACACUGUGCUGUGGUCCAGAUGUUCGC